rnacentral:lncRNA from 1 species
AAGUAUGAUUAUGAUACUAAAAGUCUGACAUAAAAUGUAAAAAAAAAAAACAGAAACCAAACAGAAUGAAACCCCACACAAUGCAUCUCAUUUGAAGAGAAAAAUUAAUUUACUAAAUUCCACUCUGCAGACCAAUAAACAUAAUUUUUAAUGUAUAUGUUUAUGACUUUCAGGACCAGACAAGACAAUUUUAGACUCACGCUUAUUGUGAUAUCCUCAGUGCUUGUUAUCUUAUAUUCUUCAGAGGUCUGCCCACUAUGAUAAAUUGUACAGGUAAGAAAAAAAUAUAUAAAGAAGUUAGUUUAUUGAUGGGAAAUAUUUUUAAGAUUUUAGGGACUAAUUCCUAAGGAACGUCUAUAGUAUUCUUAGAGAAACAUCAGCAAAUCUAUUGCAAAAAUAUUGAAAAUGCCAAUGUUAUCA